AUCUGAGCUACCACACUUGGGGAAAACAAAUCACUUUCGGUCCCUACUGGAGAGCUCAACGUUCAUUCCAGAGAUCUGCCUCAGGGUCUUUCUAGAACAGGACUAGAUGAAGCCUAUCUUAGUUUCCCUUUGAUCCCUGCAGGAAGCCUUCUUCAAGGUGGUCCACAUUACCUUCAAUUGGAUAUAACUUACACUUUUAGAUGGUCCAUUCAUGUGGCACCCUGCUGGCGACCUCGUCCACAGAGAUUUCUGACUCCUGGAACAUUCUGGCCUUUCCUUCUGUCCUUGGGGAGGCGUCCACCCAUGAGGAUUCUCCAUUAUUAUGAAUAUUCCCUGCUGGUUUUCCACCACUUAUUACAGUUCCCUGGCUGCUUCCCAGCUCCCCACCCGAGAGCCAGCUCUACCAGCCCUUCCUCCCCCACCCCUGCCCUUGGCCUGUCUCUGUGGCUUAGUCAAGGCACGCUUGAUCCAGUUGGCCGCUCAUUCUACCCUCCCUCCCUCU
rnacentral:lncRNA from 1 species